rnacentral:snoRNA from 1 species
UUUCUGAUGAAAUUUAAUUUGGUCCGUGUUUAUGAUUUUAUAUGAUUAAAAUUGUUCCAAUUACUACUGAUGUAU